rnacentral:rRNA from 1 species
GAUGAACGCUGGCGGCGUGCCUAAUACAUGCAAGUCGAGCGAACAGAUGAGGAGCUUGCUCCUCUGACGUUAGCGGCGGACGGGUGAGUAACACGUGGAUAACCUACCUAUAAGACUGGGAUAACUUCGGGAAACCGGAGCUAAUACCGGAUAAUAUAUUGAACCGCAUGGUUCAAUAGUGAAAGACGGUUUUGCUGUCACUUAUAGAUGGAUCCGCGCCGCAUUAGCUAGUUGGUAAGGUAACGGCUUACCAAGGCAACGAUGCGUAGCCGACCUGAGAGGGUGAUCGGCCACACUGGAACUGAGAAACGGUCCAGCCUCCUCCGGGAGGAAGCAGUAGGGAAUCUUCCGAAAUGGGCGAAAGCCUGACGGAGCACCGCGGCGUGAGUGAUGAAGGUCUUCGGAUCGUAAAACUCUGUUAUUAGGGAAGAACAAAUGUGUAAGUAACUAUGCACGCCUUGACGGUACCUAAUCAGAAAGCCACGGCUAACUACGUG